AGUGAACGCUGGCGGUAGGCCUAACACAUGCAAGUCGAACGGCAGCACAGUAAGAGCUUGCUCUUACGGGUGGCGAGUGGCGGACGGGUGAGGAAUACAUCGGAAUCUACUUUUUCGUGGGGGAUAACGUAGGGAAACUUACGCUAAUACCGCAUACGACCUACGGGUGAAAGCAGGGGAUCUUCGGACCUUGCGCGAUUGAAUGAGCCGAUGUCGGAUUAGCUAGUUGGCGGGGUAAAGGCCCACCAAGGCGACGAUCCGUAGCUGGUCUGAGAGGAUGAUCAGCCACACUGGAACUGAGACACGGUCCAGACUCCUACGGGAGGCGCCAGUGGGGAAUAUUGGACAAUGGGCGCAAGCCUGAUCCAGCCAUACCGCGUGGGUGAAGAAGGCCUUCGGGUUGUAAAGCCCUUUUGUUGGGAAAGAAAAGCAGCAGGUUAAUACCCCGCUGUUCUGACGGUACCCAAAGAAUAAGCACCGGCUAACUUCGUG
rnacentral:rRNA from 1 species